rnacentral:rRNA from 1 species
GCUUUUGCCGGCGGGCCUACCAUGCAAGUCGAGCGCCCAGCAAUGGGAGCGGCGCACGGGUGAGUAACACGUGGGAAUAUGCCUCGGGAUUGGGAAUAACGGCGGGAAACUGCCGCUAAUACCCGGUACGCCUUGAGAGGGAAAGGAGCAAUCCGUCCUGAGAGUAGCCCGCGUUGGAUUAGCUAGUUGGUGGGGUAACGGCCCACCAAGGCUACGAUCCAUAGCUGGUCUGAGAGGAUGAUCAGCCACACUGGGACUGAGACACGGCCCAGACUCCUACGGGAGGCAGCAGUGGGGAGUAUUGGACAAUGGGGGAAACCCUGAUCCAGCCAUGCCGCGUGAGUGAAGAAGGCCUUAGGGUUGUAAAGCUCUUUCGCACGCGACGAUGAUGACGGUAGCGUGAGAAGAAGCCCCGGCUAACUUCGUGCCAGCAGCCGCGGUAAUACGAAGGGGGCAAGCGUUGUUCGGAUUUACUGGGCGUAAAGGGCGCGUAGGCGGAACGACAAGUCAGAGGUGAAAGCCCUGGGCUCAACCCGGGAAUUGCCUUUGGGACUGCCGUUCUAGAGUUCGGAAGAGGAUGGCGGAAUACCCAGUGUAGAGGUGAAAUUCGUAGAUAUUGGGUAGAACACCGGUGGCGAAGGCGGCCAUCUGGUCCGACACUGACGCUGAGGCGCGAAAGCGUGGGGAGCAAACAGGAUUAGAUACCCUGGUAGUCCACGCCGUAAACUAUGUGUGCUAGCCGUCGGAACACUUCGGUGUUUCGGUGGCGCAGCUAACGCGGUAAGCACACCGCCUGGGGAGUACGGCCGCAAGGUUAAAACUCAAAGGAAUUGACGG